rnacentral:rRNA from 1 species
UAAGCGGAGGAAAAGAAACUAACAAGGAUUCCCCUAGUAACGGCGAGCGAACAGGGAAGAGCUCAAAUUUGAAAUCUGGCGUCCUCCGGGCGUCCGAGUUGUAAUCUAUAGAGACGUUUUCCGUGCCGGACCGUGUCCAAGUUCCUUGGAACAGGAUAUCAAAGAGGGUGACAAUCCCGUACUUGACACGACGACCGGUGCUCUGUGAUACGUUUUCUACGAGUCGAGUUGUUUGGGAAUGCAGCUCAAAAUGGGUGGUGAGUUCCAUCUAAAGCUAAAUAUUGGCGAGAGACCGAUAGCGAACAAGUACCGUGAGGGAAAGAUGAAAAGCACUUUGGAAAGAGAGUUAAACAGUACGUGAAAUUGUUAAAAGGGAAACGAUUGAAGUCAGUCGUGUCUGGGAGGCUCAGCCGGUUCUGCCGGUGUAUUCCUCUCAGACGGGUCAACAUCAGUUUUGUCCGACGGAUAAUGGCGGCGGGAAAGUAGCACCUCCGGGUGUGUUAUAGCCCGCUGUCGCAUACGCCGGAUGAGACUGAGGCAUGCAGCUCGCCUUUAUGGCAGGGGUUCGCCCACUUUCGAGCUUAGGAUGUUGACGUAAUGGCUUUAAACGACCCGUCUUGAAACACGGACCAAGGAGUCUAACAUAUCUGCAGUUUUGGG